CUGGUCUUAAGGCCAGCCUCGGGUACCCGGGAGGGACUGUCUAGCUGGAGGCGGGACGCUGCGGGCGUCCCUGCUCUUGAUCGCUUCGGGUCUCCGGCUUGCGACCCUGUGGCAGCGUCCAGAGGGCGGAUGCCCACGUCCUAGUGCUGACUAAUGGCGUGUCCCAGCUUAGAGAUAACGGCUCUGAAGUUUUCUCUUGCUAAAAUGAUGAUGUCCCAUGGACCAGAAGGUAUCUUGAUAUUCUCUUGGGACUUAUUGCCUCUUUGGCAAC
ensembl:lncRNA